GAUGAACGCUAGCUACAGGCUUAACACAUGCAAGUCGCGGGGCAUCAUGAAUUUAGCUUGCUAAGUUUGAUGGCGACCGGCGCACGGGUGAGUAACGCGUAUCCAACCUUCCUCUCUCCAUGGGAUAGACCCGUCGAAAGGCGGAUUAAUACCGUAUGCUGUCACCAGAUGGCAUCAGAAAGUGACGAAAGGUUUAGCGGAGAGAGAUGGGGAUGCGUCCGAUUAGCUUGUUGGCGGGUAA
rnacentral:rRNA from 1 species